UUGAUCCUUAAUUUCAAGUUCAGACACAGGCCAAUUCGUUGCAUAAAGGCGGCACAGAAGCGCCGAAGCACGUUUCGCUUCCACAGGUUUGAAGGGUUGAAGGCCAAAAGGCCAUUCAGUAAUGAUCCCUCCGCAGGUUCACCUACGGAGA
rnacentral:misc_RNA from 1 species